AGUCGAGCGGAGAUGAGGUGCUUGCACCUUAUCUUAGCGGCGGACGGGUGAGUAAUGCUUAGGAAUCUGCCUAUUAGUGGGGAACAACAUUCCGAAAGGGAUGCUAAUACCGCAUACGUCCUACGGGAGAAAGCAGGGGAUCUUCGGACCUUGCGCUAAUAGAUGAGCCUAAGUCGGAUUAGCUAGUUGGUGGGGUAAAGGCCUACCAAGGCGACGAUCUGUAGCGGGUCUGAGAGGAUGAUCCGCCACACUGGGACUGAGACACGGCCCAGACUCCUACGGGAGGCAGCAGUGGGGAAUAUUGGACAAUGGGGGGAACCUGAUCCAGCCAUGCCGCGUGUGUGAAGAAGCUUAUGGUUGUAAAGCACUUUAAGCGAGAGAGUACUGAGACUAGUACUCUUGGAUAGUGGAGUCUCCAGAAUACACCGCUACUCUGCGCCGCGCCGCGGUAAUACAGAGGUGCGAGCGUUAAUCGGAUUUACUGGGCGUAAAGCGUGCGUAGCGGCUUUUUAAGUCGGAUGUGAAAUCCCCGAGCUUAACUUGGGAAUUGCAUUCGAUACUGGGAAGCU
rnacentral:rRNA from 1 species